rnacentral:misc_RNA from 1 species
GAUGAAGAACGUAGCAAAAUGCGAUAAGUAAUGUGAAUUGCAGAAUUCAGUGAAUCAUCGAAUCUUUGAACGCACAUUGCGCCCGCUGGUAUUCCGGCGGGCAUGCCUGUUCGAGCGUCAUUUCUACCCUCAAGCCCCCGGGUUUGGUGUUGGGGAUCGGCUCUGCCCUUCUGGGCGGUGCCGCCCCCGAAAUACAUUGGCGGUCUCGCUGCAGCCUCCAUUGCGUAGUAGCUAACACCUCGCAACUGGAACGCGGCGCGGCCAUGCCGUAAAACCCCAACUUCUGAAUGUUGACCUCGGAUCAGGUAGGAAUACCCGCUGAACUUAAGCAUAUCAAUAAGCGGAGGA